rnacentral:rRNA from 1 species
AGAGAGAGACAUGCGCGCAUAUCAAUAAGCGGAGGAAAAGAAACUAACAAGGAUUCCCUUAGUAACGGCGAGUGAAGCGGGAAGAGCUCAAAUUUGAAAUCUUCAAGGUUCUACCUUGACGAAUUGUAGUUUAAAGAAGUGUUUUCGGUUAGUAGGAGUAGUCAAAAGUUCUUUGGAAUAGGACAUCAUAGAGGGUGAGAAUCCCGUAUUUGUACUAUUCCUUUCUAGCUUUGUGAUACACUUUCAAAGAGUCGGAUUGUUUGGGAAUGCAGUCCAAAAUGGGUGGUAAAUUUCAUCUAAAGCUAAAUAUUGGCGAGAGACCGAUAGCGAACAAGUACCGUGAGGGAAAGAUGAAAAGAACUUUGAAAAGAGAGUUAAACAGUACGUGAAAUUGUCAAAAGGGAAGCGUUUGACACCAGUGUUGUUUUCUCGAAAAUCAAUUAAAAAUGGCGGGAUUUUGUGUUGUAUUGACCUUAAAAGCUUUCUUCACUCUUUUCUUGUCUUUUUUAAUGCACUUUUCGUUUAACAAGUCAACAUCAGUUUCUUUUGUUGUAAAAGGGUCAUUGGAAGGUGGCUUUCUUUUCGGAGAAAGUGUUUAUAGCCUUUGGCCUCUGCAAUCGGAGAGAUUGAGGUCUGCAGCGUAGAUCCUUCGGGGUUAGAUACAUUUGUGCUAAGCUAUAGCCUUUCAUAGACAACUUGUUGACUAUGAUCAGUCAUGUAGCUUACUCGCUUAUGCUAUUUUACCUACGCUUAGGAUGUUGACAGCAGUAUAGACUGU